rnacentral:rRNA from 1 species
GACGAACGCUGGCGGCGCGCUUAACACAUGCAAGUCGAACGGAAAGGCCUGCUUUCCCUUGUGGAUUGCGGGUACUCGAGUGGCGAACGGGUGAGUAACACGUGAGUGAUCUGCCCCCAACUUGGGUAUAAGCCUGGGAAACUGGGUCUAAUUCCCGAUAGGACUGCAGGGUGGUGCCUGUGGUGGAAAACGAUUUUCUAGUGGUUGGGGAUGAGCUCGCGGCCUAUCAGCUUGUUGGUGGGGUAAUGGCCUACCAAGGCGGCGAUGGGUAGCCGGCCUGAGGGGGUGGACGGGCACAUUGGGACUGAGAUACGGCCCAGACUCCUACGGGAGGCAGCAGUGGGGAAGAGUGCACAAUGGGCGGAAGCCUGAUGCAGCGACGCAGCGUGGGGGAUGACGGCCUGCGGGUUGUAAACUCCUUUCGACCGCGAGGAAGCCUCCUGGUUGGAAGGGUGGUGACGGUAGUGGUAGAAGAAGCACCGGCUAACUACGUG